CAGCCCAACUCCAAAUCAGCUAGUGACCUAGCCCCAUUUCCUUCUCUUUCCCCUCUUAUUUGAUACGUAUAAGAGUCUUCAAACGAUGGUACAACAACAGUAUCAUCUACCAGCAAACAACUUCAACACAUAGCAACAACAUACAAAUAACGACAAUAACUCCCAAACCUAUUUCUUGUUGCUAACAUCACGUUCAACGAAUGCUAACAUCACGUUCAACGAACAACAACAACAACAGCGAAGAACCCAGCAAAUCGACAAACAAUAACUCUCAACCCGUCAAUGACCCAUCAAAAUGGGUCCAACUUUGGCGACCCAUCCAAUAAUCAGAAAUCGGCCACUCGACCCAUGUCUGGCAGCAGCUUCAACGAAACUUCCAGAAAUGGGAUAGCUUAGCCAAUCAUUGAGCGUACGGAUGGUAUGAUUCUGUAAUGAAUCCAACGUAUCUCUUAUCCCAUUUUUGAAAUUCAAAAGUUUCCUAUGAGAAUCCCAAAAUUUCCCACAUUUUCUUUGUUUCCACAUCAAUUGAGCCUCAAAAAGAUGGAUUCCGUGGUUCUGUUAUAAAAUGCUCUUGGUUGAGCUAAAAAGGGGAUCAAAAAAAGUUGAAAAAGAGGGGAAAAAAUCCUCAAAGCUAAGAGUUUCCUUUCUCAGUAAAAAUUCUUUUUUCGUUCUUUUUUUUGAAAGUUGAUCGAUUAAUCAGAGGUUCUCGAGUUGAUAACACUGAUUUUUUUAUAGUGGUAGAUCCCGACGUCAGCUCAUUGUUCUAUUUUUCUCUCGAAAGCAAGGAUGAAGGAUGGAGUAGAGCAUUACUAUGGUCUACCUAUAUCUUUCGAGAGCCUAUUGGCCAAGAAAUCAUUUGAGUCCUACAUGGACUCGUCCUUUUUUUGCAUAUCUAUCAUAGCCAAUGAGGCCUAUUUUUUGAGUCAAGCCCAAAGGAGGUUUAAAGUCAAAUUACAUAUGGAUGCAAGGAGAUGAAAGAAGAAGAAGGGAUUAAGUCCUAUCUUUGAAGCGGCUGAACAGUCUCAUUUUUUCAUUUUUUUAUUUAUUUAUCUAUUGUCGUCUUUAUUUAUUUAUUUUAUUUAUUUAUCCAUUCAUUUGGGCCUCGAAGCCAAAGUUGUAUUAUAAUACAGAUGAUGCGACACUCGAGCAAAAAGUUUCGAAAAAUGGCUUAGGAAAGGUUAUGGACCGAAAGCCAAACACUUAGAUUAGGACAGGUGCAAAAAUGGGUCGGAAGCCCAAUUAGAUUUGGAUAGGUUUUGUUGAUUUGAGCCCAAUGGCCUAAGUCUUUUACUUC